rnacentral:tRNA from 1 species
UGGCUCAGUUGGUAGAGCAUGGUGCUUGAAACACCAGGGUUGUGGGUUCGAUUCCCAC